rnacentral:rRNA from 1 species
CACGUAGGCACCAAGCGUUGUUCGGAUUUAUUGGGCGUAAAGAGCUCGUAGGCGGUUCAGUAAGUCGGGUGUGAAAACUUUGGGCUUAACCCAAAGCGUGCAUCCGAUACUGCUGUGACUUGAGUACGGUAGGGGAGCGGGGAAUUCCUAGUGUAGCGGUGAAAUGCGCAGAUAUCGGGAGGAACACCAAUGGCGAAGGCAGCUCGCUGGGACGUUACUGACGCUGAGACGCGAAAGCGUGGGGAGCAAACAGG